rnacentral:rRNA from 1 species
UACGUAGGGCGCAAGCGUUGUCCGGAAUUAUUGGGCGUAAAGAGCUCGUAGGUGGCGUGUCGCGUCUGCCGUGAAAGCCCAUGGCUUAACUGUGGGUCUGCGGUGGAUACGGGCAGGCUGGAGGCUGGUAGGGGCAAGCGGAAUUCCUGGUGUAGCGGUGAAAUGCGCAGAUAUCAGGAGGAACACCGAUAGCGAAGGCAGCUCGCUGGGACGGUACUGACGCUGAGGCGCGAAAAGCGUGGGGAGCGAACAGGAUUAGA